UGCUCAGCAAUUCCUAUCCCUACCUCCUCGCGAUUCUGGCCGGGGUACGAGCAACCUUAGGAAAGAUCCCCGGUGGAAACUUUGGCCGUAUGCUGACAGGUAAAA
rnacentral:ribozyme from 1 species